CACCUCCUUCCUUUCCAUUACUCGUGCUCGGGCUUGAAACCGCUGCUCCAUGACACUGGGCAUCACACGUAGAAUAAAAAUGAGACAAGCCUUACAAAAUAAGUACACAGUGACUAAAGGUACAGUAGAAACAUCAUCCUCCUCAUCUGUAGUGUUCUUUUUUUUUAUUCACUCCUGCUGUGGCACAAAUGAAAACAAAUAUCAGCAGAUUAUCUUAAUACGAUGUCUGGAAUGAAAGCGGCUUAUACGCAAUCGUUGAUCUCUGUUUUUGUAUCGUAGCCUCGGUUUAACACAAGAAAACAAAUGAGCGUCCAAAAGCCUUUUUGCCAGAUAUGUGAAAAUCACUCACAGCAGGCUGCAGAUUCCCAUGUUGCCUGUGUGUUCUUUACAGAUGGGAUAUGUUUGCAAAUUUUUUCUUCAAAAAUAUCGCCAAAUCUUACUAAUGCUUCAAAAUGAGAUUUUAACCAUAUAAAAAGCACAAUGUUAUUAGGUAACAACUCUUCUGUAUUGACAGUAAGAACACGCUGCCUGAAAUGACAAGCUUUACAAAGACUUGUUUAAUUAUAUUAUUCUUUCAUUUCCUAACCUGCACACACACACUGAGGUUCAGAUCAGUGUGAGCUUCGCUGUAAAUAUGUGACAAUAAAAACACUUUGUCUAACUCAUCUCUAUUUAAGACUUUCUCACAGUUUCAGCUAUCUCGCCUUUGUCACGGUGUGGUGCCUGCAACAGAUGUUUCAGGUUCUACAAAGUAGUUUCAAGUCUAGUUCCUUGUGCGACUUUCUGAUGCGUAAAAUACCCAAUUUUUAAGAAGGUAGGAGUUACUCCUCUAAAUCUAAUCCACUUUAUUGUAAAGAAGUUUGCUGCAAAUGCAUGAAUCUCCUGUUUUACUCUCUUGUGAUAUUUUUUGUCAAAUUAUCUCAUUGCACAGGUGGAAUAUUUUGUUGAGUUCUGAGUAAAUUGAAAAUGUUUUGUUUCACACUUAUUUCUGUAGAAAUGUUUUGUUUUUUCACAGAAAUGUCCUUUGGCUUAUAAGAUUGGAUAUAAAACAUCCUCACAACAAAACAAUGAUGUCCCUGUUAUGGGGGUUUUUUUGUAGCGUGUCAAAAGUACAAAUAUCUGCAACAGAAAACAUAAAUAUUUGAAGUCUGAUUAAACAGAAAAUGAUUACUUUAACAAGAAAGAGAAAUAUUUUAGACUGUGUGUGUGUGGUGUUGUGUUGUAAUAUUUUUCUCUUAUUUAAUGUCAAACAUUAAGAUGAAGAUGAAUAACCUGUGCAUAGCAGGAAUAAACAUUUUGUUGGAAUGCUUAAUAAAACAACAGCCGGUG